rnacentral:rRNA from 1 species
CAGAGGGUGCGAGCGUUGUUCGGAAUUGCUGGGCGUAAAGCGCGCGCAGGCGGCCCUUUAAGUCUGUCGGUCAAAUGCCGGGGCUCAACCCCGGGCGUGCCGAGGAUACUGGAGGGCUGGAGACACGUAGAGGCAAGCGGAAUUCCGGGUGUAGCGGUGGAAUGCGUAGAGAUCCGGAAGAACACCGGAGGCGAAGGCGGCUUGCUGGGCGUGAUCUGACGCUGAGGCGCGAAAGCGUGGGGAGCGAACAGGAUUAGAUACCCUGGUAGUCCACGCCGUAAACGAUGGGCACUAGACGCUGGUGGGAUCGACCCCUUCGGUGUCGCAACUAACGCGAUAAGUGCCCCGCCUGGGGAUACGGCCGCAAGGCUG